rnacentral:rRNA from 1 species
UUUUUAGUUGCCAGCAUUCGGUUGGGCACUCUAGAGAGACUGCCGGUGACAAACCGGAGGAAGGUGGGGAUGACGUCAAGUCAGCAUGCCCCUUACGCNUUGGGCUACACACGUACUACAAUGCUGAGGACAGAGGGCAGCAAGCUAGCGAUAGCAAGCGAAUCCCGUAAACCGGCGCUCAGUUCAGAUCGCAGGCUGCAACUCGCCUGCAUGAAG